ACUCGUUUUCCACUUUGAUAAUUCUUUAUGUUACAGAAAGAGAAUGUCUUUAUAUUAUGCCAGAAUUCCAUUACAAUACAUUUUGCAUUUAAUAGUAUAAUUUCACUGCAGUCACAAUGCUGUGUAUGUUAAUAAUGGCUUAUAAUAUAGUUCCUUAUUAAGUUUUUAAUUUUGUGUACUACAUCUCUGUUUCAUACUAACCCUCUAUUGCAUUCUGUUCCCCAUCAAAACACUUUCUAUUUAUGAUGUCUGAAUUUCAUACAUGCAUUGUUCCAUACACGAAAGUGAUGUAGGUUGUAGCUGAGACUGUCCACUAGAUAAUAGUACUAACCAGUUUAUUUUUCUUCAUUUAUUGGACAUGUUUCUAGUCUUUUGCAGAUAGUUGCCAGUGGUGGUUGUCUUUGCAUGGUUUUUAGUACUAUCUCAAGAUAAGUAUAGAAGAAGGAAGGCUACAGUGGCCCAUAUAAGAGAUACAGCCCCAGAAAGUAAGGAUUCUGAAUCAUAAGUUAAAGAUGUAGGAAACAAGCAAUUGGUUUAGUCCAAAUAUCAGCAAGUCAAGUGAUGAGGACUGUUCUGAUACAACAGCAAGCAUAGAAAGGCAGGAAACUGACACAGAAGAAUUCAAGGAUACAAUAAAUUUAAAGACAUACAACCCAAAAGAACCACAUAAGUGGGGAUAUAAAAUGUGGGUGCUAUCAGAUGUGUCAGGGAUGUUACAUAAUUUUCAGUUAUAUGUCCAGAAGAAAUGUUAUGGUAAGUGGUAAGCCAAACUUAGUGGCAGCAAAUAAUGCUGUUGUUAGACUAUGCUGACAUACCCCUUUGCCUGUAAAUGAUAUGGAGUUUUAUGAUAACUUCCUUUGUCAUUCUUUUCCUUACAUAUUUACCAAAGAAGUUUUUGCUGUCUGCACAAAUCACCUGCCAGAUUACAAACCCUUAGCUGAGAAAGAAAUGAAAUAGUGAGAGGUACCAUGACAGACCACCACCUAAGAUACCUCCGAAAAGGAGGCGGUGAAAACCCACAACGGUUGUAGUGCCAAGAAACAACAAAAUCUAGUGUGACAAAAAGGGUUCUUGUGAAUGUCCAUAACUUUCCCCAGCAAUAAAAGUAGUUACCUGAGUAUGUAAAGAACAUUAUUUGGUGAUCAUUAUAAAUUACAGAACAUGUACGUCAAAAUUCUGUGGCUUGCUCUUGUCUUUGAACCUUUGCACUAGUAAGCAAUCAUUAAUAUCUGAAUAACAACAUGAUAGGAAAGUGAUUCAGAACUUAAAAAACCCAGAGACAAACUGUCUUAUUGUAACUCCCUGUAAUUGGCAUCCACUUUAUCACUAACACAGUGCUUAGGUUUGAUUCAGAAGUUUCAAAUAAUUAGGAUACAGAAGACACUAAUGGAUGCAGGGCAUAUAAUUUUAAAGUGCAUCUCUAUGUUCUAAACAAAAAAAUAAACAUGCUGUUGAAUCUAAACACUCAAAAGAAUGCAGAUUUUUAAUUGUACUUAUGAAUCAUGAAUUUUAUCUGUACUGGGUAAUUUUUUAAUCAGUACUACCUGAGACCUUGCACCAAAUAUCAAGAAGUACAUACGGUGAAACCUCUAUCCAUCAUUCCCCGAACUAUCAUUUUCCCGGAAGCAUCGUCUUGUUUAGUUCGGUCCCUGAUACGUCCCAUAUAAAAUAAUGUUAUAUUUUCUCGCUUCUAUCAUUUCUCGAACUGUCGUUUAAUCGCAUUAAUAGUUCAAAAAUCUUAGUCCUGGCCCACAAUUUUCCCGCACUGAUAAAUUUACGCAAUGUUUUUAGGAUUUAAAAUGAUCGUUUUAGAGAUAAAUUAAAAUCUAAAGACGCACAGCGAGCUUGCCACAUGCACGGCUGACACCAUCGAUAAGUCGUUUGAUGAAAUGAAAGGGGGGGGGGGGGUGAGGAAGGGAAAGACGACGAAUACAAGCCCGAAGCUGUGCCGAGUUUUGCCGAAGCACAUGCCGCAUUGG